rnacentral:rRNA from 1 species
GACGAACGCUGGCGGCGUGCUUAACACAUGCAAGUCGAACGGUGAAGCGCCUUCCUUUUUGGUGGGUGUGGAUGAGUGGCGAACGGGUGAGUAACACGUGAGUAACCUGCCCCCUUCUUCUGGAUAACCGCAUGAAAGUGUGGCUAAUACGGGAUAUUCUGGGUCUGUCGCAUGAUGGGUCUGGGAAAGAUAUUGUUUCGGUGGGGGAUGGGCUCGCGGCCUAUCAGCUUGUUGGUGGGGUGAUGGCCUACCAAGGCGGUGACGGGUAGCCGGCCUGAGAGGGUGGACGGUCACGCUGGGACUGAGACACGGCCCAGACUCCUACGGGAGGCAGCAGAGGGGAAUAUUGCACAAUGGGCGCAAGCCUGAUGCAGCGACGCCGCGUGAGGGAUGGAGGCCUUCGGGUUGUGAACCUCUUUCGCCAGUGAAGCAGGCCUGCCUCGUUUGUGGGUGGGUUGACGGUAGCUGGAUAAGAAGCGCCGGCUAACUACGUG